rnacentral:rRNA from 1 species
AGAGUUUGAUCCUGGCUCAGAACGAACGCUGGCGGCAUGCUUAACACAUGCAAGUCGAACGGAAUGCACUUGUGCAUUUAGUGGCGAACGGGUGAGUAACGCGUGGGAACGUGCCUCUUAGUGGGGGAUAACUAUGGGAAACUGUAGCUAAUACCGCAUAGUCUUGUUUACAAGUAAAGGAGUAAUCCGCUAAGAGAUCGGCCUGCGUCGGAUUAGGUAGUUGGUGAGGUAAAUGCUCACCAAGCCUUAGAUCCGUAGCUGAUUUGAGAGAGUGAACAGCCACAUUGGGACUGAGAUACGGCCCAGACUUCUACGGAAGGCAGCAGUGGGGAAUAUUGGACAAUGGGGGAAACCCUGAUCCAGCAAUGUCGCGUGAAUGAUGAAGGUCUUAGGAUUGUAAGAUUCUUUCGCUUGUGAAGAUUAUGACGGUAACAAGAGAAGAAGCACCGGCUAACUUCGUGCCAGCAGCCGCGGUAAUACGAGGGGUGCUAGUGUUGUUCGGAAUUAUUGGGCGUAAAGGGUGCGUAGGUGGAUUUAUAAGUGAGCGCUAAAUGUCUGAGCUUAACUCAGGCCUGUCGACUCAUACUAUUUAUCUUGAAUUCGAGAGAGGGAAGUGGAAUUCCUAGUGUAGGGGUAGAAUCCAUAAAUAUUAGGAGGAACGUCGGAGGCGAAGGCGACUUCCUGGCUCGAUAUUGACACUGAGGCACGAAAGCGUGGGUAGCAAACAGGAUUAGAUACCCUGGUAGUCCACGCCCUAAACGAUGAGCGCUAGAUGUCGGAUUUUUUCGGUGUCACAGCUAACGCGUUAAGCGCUCCGCCUGGGGACUACGGUCGCAAGACUAAAACUCAAAGGAAUUGACGGGGGCCUGCACAAGCGGUGGAGCAUGUGGUUUAAUUCGAUAGUAAGCGAAGAACCUUACCAGCCCUUGACAUGGGAGUCAUAGCUUUUGGAAACUUAAGCAUCGGAUCGGCCGGACUCCACACAGGUGCUGCAUGGCCGUCGUCAGCUCGUGUCGUGAGAUGUUGGGUUAAGUCCUUUAACGAGCGCAACCCUUGUCUUUAGUUGCUAACAGGUAAUGCUGAGAACUUUAAAGAGACCGCUAGCUAUAAGCUGGAGGAAGGCGGGGAUGACUUCAGGUAUCAUGGCCCUUAUGGGCUGGGCUACACACGUGCUACAAUGGCAUUUACAGAGGGAAGUGACGUGGUGACUCUGAACUGACCCUUAAAGAAUGUCUCAGUCCGGAUUGCUCUCUGCAACUCGAGAGCAUGAAGUUGGAAUCGCUAGUAAUCGCGGGUCAGCAUACCGCGGUGAAUACGUUCACGGGCCUUGUACACACUGCCCGUCAAGCCAUGGAAGUCGGUUUUGCCUUAAGAUCAUGUUCCAACCCUUUUUGGGAGGUAGUGAUUUACGGUGGGAUUGGUGACUGGGGUUAAGUCGUAACAAGGUA